rnacentral:misc_RNA from 1 species
UGAUUUCUUAUAAUCUUUUGAUUUCAGGGUAUGCCGAGAUGGGUUCUUUUGAUAAGGCUAUUGGUCUGUUUCUUGAAGCUAAAAUGGCUUGUUUAAAGCUCGACAAGUUUAGUUAUGCGGGAGUGCUAAGCGCUUGUGGUCAAACCGGGGAUCUUGGAGUGGGUAAAGUGAUUCAUGGAAUGGCUGUUGUUUGCGGGUUGGUUCGACAAGUGUUUCUGACCAAUUUGUUUAUUGAUAUGUAUUGCAAAUGUGGGAGGGUUGAGCAGGCAAGGCUUUUGUUUGAGUCUUCCGAUGGGUUGGAUAUUGUUUCUUGGAAUUCUUUG